CUUGGACAGUAGGAGGCGGGCAACAACCAAUAACGCGCCGCCAACGCGGAUAUGACGUCGUAGUGUUUACGUUUACUCCGCUCAGUUGAGUCGCAAGCAUACUGUCUAUGGUCGCAAGGGACCGUGAGCUAAAGAAAGUGGAUAUAAUAGAAUUUCUUUUUUUUCACAUAUAUUGCCCGCACAGUUUUGGUGCGUAACGUUAGCUAGUUGUCGUGUUUCAAUGGGCGGUCACGGCGUUUUGGGGAACGAGCCCGAAUCUAUCGACUACUCGGUGCACGAAGCUUGGAAUGAGGCCACCAAUGUCUACCUGCUGGUUAUCCUGGUCAGCUUCGCCCUGCUGAUGUACGCCAGAAAAAACAAGAGGAAGAUCAUGCGGAUCUUCACGCUGCCUCCCACCGUGGGCAGCAGCCCGGAGCCCAACUUCUACGACAGCCUGCAGAAGGUGCGCCUGCGGCAGCAGCUGGAGAUGUACUCCCUGGCCAGGAAGUUUGAGCAGCAGCAGGGCCAGACCGACAGCGUGCAGCUCUCCAUGGAGUGAGAGCACGGGGGAACUCUCCCCUUCCCGUCGGAGCGAACUCUCCGAGCCCUUUGUACAGCUGGAUUGGGACGCAGCAGUGUGGCGUCCAGCCGGGACUCUGAUGGACCGAGAAGUGAUAAACCUGGAACUGCAGCAGAUGUCACUCAGAUACUCUAAAGUAUGGCGUGAGAUUAAAAGAAAAAUCCACGUGAAGAUUUCUUUUGCGCGCAGAACACGAUCCUUCAAAUUUAACAUAGGUUCUAGUUGUUGUUUUUUUUAUUAUUUGUUUUUUUUACUUGUUUGUUCAUUUCUUUUUUUGUGUCAGCUGGGUAGUAAAAUUCAAAUGUGAAAAUAAAAGCACAUAAACAUAAAGCAGCUGAGUCAGCAAAUGUUUU